GGAGAGGUGGCCGAGUGGCUUAAGGCGUCGGUUUGCUAAACCGAUGUAGUAUCGUAAGGUGCUACCGGGGGUUCGAAUCCCCCCUUCUCCG
rfam:Chlorobium sp. GBChlB GB_Chlorobi_Contig_581, whole genome shotgun sequence.